CUACAUGACGACUCACAUGGACUCCUGUUUGGCUGAUGUUGCAGAUGGGUCUCAGAAAUCUGAUUCCC